rnacentral:rRNA from 1 species
AGAGUUUGAUCCUGGCUUAGAACGAACGCUGGCGGCGUGGAUUAGGCAUGCAAGUCGAACGGGAUCUCUUGAUUUGAUUCUUUGGAUGAAGAUCUUGAGUGAGAGUGGCGAACGGGUGAGGAACACGUGGGCAACUUGCCCCUAAGUCUGGAAUAGCCCUCCGAAAGGAGGAGUAAUACCGGAUGUGAUAGCCUACCGCAUGGUAGACGCUUUAAAGGUGGGGAUCCUUCGGGACCUGCCGCUUAGGGAUGGGCUCGCGGCCUAUCAGCUUGUUGGUAAGGUAAUGGCUUACCAAGGCUAAGACGGGUAGCUGGUCUGAGAGGAUGAUCAGCCACACUGGGACUGAGACACUGCCCAGACUCCUACGGGAGGCUGCAGUCGAGAAUCAUUCGCAAUGCACGAAAGUGUGACGAUGCGACGCCGCGUGUAGGAUGACGGCCUUCGGGUUGUAAACUACUGUCAUGAGGGAAAAACGAUCAGUACGUGAAUAGCGUAUUGAUGUGAUGGUACCUCAAGAGGAAGCCACGGCUAACUCUGUGCCAGCAGCCGCGGUAAUACAGAGGUGGCAAGCGUUGUUCGGAUUUACUGGGCGUAAAGGGUGCGUAGGCGGUUUUGUAUGUCGGGUGUGAAAUCUCACCGUCCAACGGUGAAACUGCAUCCGAAACUGCAGGACUAGAGUACAGGAGGGGUAAGUGGAAUUCUUAGUGUAGCGGUGAAAUGCGUAGAUAUUAAGAAGAACGCCGGCGGCGAAGGCGACUUACUGGACUGAUACUGACGCUGAGGCACGAAAGCUGGGGGAGCAAAGAGGAUUAGAUACCCUCGUAGUCCCAGCCGUAAACGGUGUGCACUUGGUGUAGGCGGCUUUGUCCCCGUCUGUGCCGGAGCUAACGCGUUAAGUGCACCGCCUGGGGAGUACGGCCGCAAGGCUAAAACUCAAAGGAAUUGACGGGGGCCCGCACAAGCGGUGGAGCAUGUGGCUUAAUUCGAUGCAACGCGAAGAACCUUACCUGGACUUGACAUGGUACUGCACGCCCUGUGAAAGCAGGGUUCCUUUGAGGGUGUAUCACAGGUGCUGCAUGGCUGUCGUCAGCUCGUGCCGUGAGGUGUUGGGUUAAGUCCCGCAACGAGCGCAACCCUUGUGAUUAGUUGCCACUCCCUUUGGGGAAGCACUCUAAUCAGACUGCCUGUGACAAGCAGGAGGAAGGUGGGGAUGACGUCAAGUCAGUAUGGCCCUUAUGUCCAGGGCUGCACACGUGCUACAAUGGGCGGUACAGAACGAAGCAAUACCGCGAGGUGGAGCAAAUCGUAAAAACCGUCCCCAGUUCGGAUUGGAGUCUGCAACUUGACUCCAUGAAGCCGGAAUCGCUAGUAAAGGCGUAUCAGCUACGACGCCUUGAAUACGUUCCCGGGCCUUGUACACACCGCCCGUCACAUCACGGAAGUCGACUGCUCCCGAAGUCGCCGAGCCAACCGCAAGGAGGCAAGCGCCGAAGGAGUGGUUGAUAACUGGGAUGAAGUCGGAACAAGGUA